UUAAGAACACUAAAUGUAAAGUGCAUUUGUUUAUUUUUUCAUAGAUUCAUAGAAGGUCACAGCAUUGAAGCGCUCGUUCCAGGGAAAGCAGUGCACCAUCAUGGCGUUACUGGCACUUUAAACAACAUCAGAUAAGAUAUUCUGUAUACAGCUAUUUCAAUUAAGGUUGUCCCCCGAGCAAAGCGGAAAAAUCGAAUAUGAGCGCGA